rnacentral:rRNA from 1 species
AUUGAACGCUGGCGGCAGGCUUAACACAUGCAAGUCGAGCGGGGUGAUGGUGCUUGCACUAUCACUUAGCGGCGGACGGGUGAGUAAUGCUUAGGAAUCUGCCUAUUAGUGGGGGACAACAUCUCGAAAGGGAUGCUACUACCGCAUACGUCCUACGGGAGAAAGCAGGGGAUCACUUGUGACCUUGCGCUAAUAGAUGAGCAUAAGUCGGAUUAGCUAGUUGGUGGGGUAAAGGCCUACCAAGGCGACGAUCUGUAGCGGGUCUGAGAGGAUGAUCCCCCACACUGGGACUGAGACACGGCCCAGACUCCUACGGGAGGCAGCAGUGGGGAAUAUUGGACAAUGGGGGGAACCCUGAUCCAGCCAUGCCGCGUGUGUGAAGAAGGCCUUAUGGUUGUAAAGCACUUUAAGCGAGGAGGAGGCUCUUUUGGUUAAUACCCAAGAUGAGUGGACGUUACUCGCAGAAUAAGCACCGGCUAACUCUGUGCCAGCCGCCGCGGUAAAAC